GGGUAAUCUGAAUAAACUCUCUUGAGGUUCUAUAGGGUCCUAAUUUAGUGUGAGGGAGGAGAAGAUAGGUUGUCAGAUUGACAUCUGUUGCUGUUCUGAGUAGGGUUUGAGGAGUCUAAGUCUUGGGAGACUGAGAAACACACGGACUCCAGCUCCAUUCAGAAGCUGCAUGGAUUUAUUUAGACACACUGGAAUACUGACUUUUCUUGAACUUUAAAGGUCAGAUGAACUCAGUAUCUAAAAUUGAGUUCUGGCAAAAAUGAUAUUUCAUCAUAUCUAUUAUUACAGUUUCUUAUAAAUGUAAUUCCCUUUUGAAUUGGUAGAUUACUUUUAUGCUAGUAACACGAUGUUUCAAAGCACUGUUUUACCCAUUUCUUCAAAUGUUGCUGAUUUAAAAUACCUAUUAUAUAGAUCAAACAUUAGGUUUUAAGCCUUGGGUGCUAUGCCUGCUGUGAGUUUAAAACUGCUUUUGGAGAAUUCUGCUUCUACUUCAAGUGGACUUUCUCCCUUUUAUGACCUUAAAGGCUGAGUACUAGAUGUGAUAUAAGUGAACUGAAGGAACAGGGCCCAGGUUUAUCAUCAUUAUUGUAUUGCUUUAUUCUGUCUGUUUUUGUUACAUUUUCACAAAGUAUUUUGAAAUGCACCUACUGUAAGAAGGGAGGCUAUUCGGGACAUUUGAUUUUCUAUUUUUUUUAUUUAUUUUUAUUUUUUGUCUU
rnacentral:lncRNA from 1 species